rnacentral:miRNA from 1 species
AAAUCAUUUGAAGAGCUUGUUAAAAUGCAGAUUCGGAUUUCUCAGGUCUGGAGCAGAGCCUAAGAGUCUACAUUUUUAACAGGCUCUGGAAUAAAACCGUG